UACGGAGGAGGCAAGCGUUAUCCGGAAUUAUUGGGCGUAAAGCGUCCGUAGAUGGUCGUUUCAAGUCUGCUGUCAAAGACCGGGGCUUAACCCCAGAAAGGCGGUGGAAACUGAACAGCUAGAGAGAGGUAGGGGUAGAGGGAAUUCCCAGUGUAGCGGUGAAAUGCGUAGAUAUUGGGAAGAACAUCAGUGGCGAAAGCGCUCUACUGGACCGCAACUGACACUCAGGGACGAAAGCUAGGGGAGCGAAUGGG
rnacentral:rRNA from 1 species